AUUCAGCUGACCAGUACCAAAUAGGACGAAACAAGUGUCCUGGAU
rfam:Schistosoma curassoni strain Dakar, Senegal genome assembly, scaffold: SCTD_scaffold0005731